CCGCCCAGCUUGUCCCCGCGGGACCCGGAUACGGGGCACUUUCGUUGCGAACUGCCAGGAGGGCCCUGAGUUGACUCCUCUUUCGGAUGUGUGUUGUAAAACACUCUGGGGAAUGAUUGUCACUGGACAGACCGCCUCUGGCACGACGUGAAGCCUCGCUGUCACUCGGGAAGGGACGAGAAAACGACAGGCUGGUGGCACGGGCGGCGCAGCCGGCGGCACAGGUAGCUCAGAUUAAAGUUGGCUUGG